GUUCUCACUUCAGCAAUACAUACACUAAAAUUGGAACCAUAGAGAGAAAAUUAGCAUGGCCCCUGCGUAAGGAUGAUAUGCAAAUUUGUGAUGCAUUUUAUAUUUUU